ACGCUCGACACCUACGGUAGGCAGCAGUGGGGAAUAUUGCACAAUGGGGGAAACCCUGAUGCAGCGACGCCGCGUGAGCGAAGAAGUAUCUCGGUAUGUAAAGCUCUAUCAGCAGGGAAGAAAAUGACGGUACCUGACUAAGAAGCACCGGCUAAAUACGUGCUAGCAGCCGCGGUAAUCUGAGCGGGCUGGCAAGGC
rnacentral:rRNA from 1 species